GUGUCAGCAGCCGCGGUAAUACGUAGGGAGCGAGCGUUACUCGGAAUCACUGGGCAUAAAGGGCGUGUAGGUGGGUGCGUAAGUCCGGCGUGAAAUCCCCCAGCUCAAAUGGGGAACGGCGCCGGAUACUGCGUGUCUCGAGUGCGGGAGGGGAGAGUGGAACUCUUGGUGGAGCGGUGAAAUGCGUAGAUAUCAGGAGGAACGCCGGUGGCGAAAGCGGCUCUCUGGCCCGUAACUGACACUGAGGCGCGAAAGCUAGGGGAGCAAACGGGAUUAGAUACCCCGGUAGUCCUAGCCCUAAACGAUGGGCACUAGGUAGGGGCGGCUCCGAUGUCGUCUCUGCCGAAGCAAAUGUGCUAAGUGCCCCGCCUGGGGAGUACGGUCGCAAGGCUGAAACUCAAAUGAAUUGACGGGG
rnacentral:rRNA from 1 species